UACGAAGGGGGCUAGCGUUGCUCGGAAUCACUGGGCGUAAAGGGUGCGUAGGCGGCGCGGUAAGUCGGGUGUGAAAUCUCGGGGCUUAACUCCGAAACUGCAUUCGAUACUGCCGUGCUUGAGGACUGGAGAGGAGACUGGAAUUUACGGUGUAGCGGUGAAAUGCGUAGAUAUCGUAAGGAAGACCAGUGGCGAAGGCGGGUCUCUGGACAGUUCCUGACGCUGAGGCACGAAGGUCAGGGGAGCAAACGGG
rnacentral:rRNA from 1 species